CAGAAGUUCGUGGGGACCUAAUGGAGUUCAUCCCCUUCAGGAAAAGCUGUUCAACUACGUACUGAAUGACAGUGGGCCAGCAAAUGAGCUCAUUGUUAAAGCUGGUCCAACAUGUCUAACCAGGGAGAAUUUACUGACCUUGGGGACAAACAGGGAGAUGGACUCUGUGGUGGGUAAAAUAUGUGGUUAUGGAAAGACAAGGUGCUAUGUAAUCCAUCAUGAAUACCUUGUUUUAGUCCUAUAAAUAAUGGUAAGACUUUGUCUACCACACGUACGGUCGGAUUGUCUGUGAGAUACUUUUUGUCUCUUUAUGGUUUGACACAUUAUUUUUACCAGAAAGGUUUAAGAAAGGUGUUGUUUUACAGGUGGGGAAUGCUUGUUUGAGGUUGGUUCAGGAGAUGGUCCAACUUCAGGGGAAAGAUGUUUUCAUCAUGGACCUUCACACGCCCCCAACAUGGCUCCCACCCAUGGAUUGUGACCCUCUGCAUAGUCUUCCUGUGGAUUACGCGAAGAAGACACUGAUAUUUCCUCUGUGGACUCGAGGGCAUUAUCUGCU